AUUUAAAUAAGUGAUUUUUACACAUUUUUAUGUUUCGUUUGAGUUUUCUUCAUUGUGAUUCUUUCGUCUUGUAUUGUUUUAAUCCCGUCUUUGUGCAGAGUUGUUUGUUUUGUGUCACGUCUUGAUACAAUGUUGAUUUCCUGUCUUAGUACGGUGUUUGUUUUUUCAGAUUUUCAGAUUUGCUUCAAUCCAAAUUCAGUGCAAAUUCAUUGAAUUUAGCGUCGUCAACGUUGCAGAUCCGG
rnacentral:lncRNA from 1 species